GUAAAUAUAUCCAAACGGUUAAGGAAAAAAAUUGUGGAUUUUUAAAAUAUGAGUUCGAUUCCCAUUAUUUACCU
rnacentral:tRNA from 1 species